rnacentral:rRNA from 1 species
CACGUAGGGUGCGAGCGUUGUCCGGAAUUAUUGGGCGUAAAGAGCUCGUAGGCGGUGUGUCGCGUCGGCCGUGAAAACCUGCAGCUUAACUGUGGGCUUGCGGUCGAUACGGGCAUCACUGGAGUUCGGCAGGGGAGACUGGAAUUCCUGGUGUAGCGGUGAAAUGUGCAGAUAUCAGGAGGAACACCGGUGGCGAAGGCGGCGUUCUGGACUGU